GUAGGUGGCAAGCGUUGUCCGGAAUUAUUGGGCGUAAAGCGCGCGCAGGCGGUUUCUUAAGUCUGAUGUGAAAGCCCACGGCUCAACCGUGGAGGGUCAUUGGAAACUGGGGAACUUGAGUACAGAAGAGGAAAGUGGAAUUCCACGUGUAGCGGUGAAAUGCGUAGAGAUGUGGAGGAACACCAGUGGCGAAGGCGACUUUCUGGUCUGUAACUGACGCUGAGGCGCGAAAGCGUGGGGAGCAAACAGGGAUUAGAUACCCUGGUAGUCCACGCCGUAAACGAUGAGUGCUGAGUGUUAGAGGGUUUCCGCCCCUUUAGUGCUGCAGCUAACGCAUUAAGCACUCCGCCUGGGAGUACGGUCGCAAGACUG
rnacentral:rRNA from 1 species